UUAGUGCUUUGUGGCUGGAAUGGAUCGUGGAAGGAUGCUUCUUGCCAUCGCAUUGGUGAUCAUGAUCAGCGGCAACAUCGAUUGUUCCAGGCCGGGCUCGUUUUCGGCGAUGAGCCAGCAGGCCGAGCUUUUCAAUUCCGAAUUGCGCCUUCCUGUUGUUAACAAGAUCCACAAUCUUUUCGAAAGGACCUUCCGGAGAAUGCUCAUCCAGGGUCAGCCCACGCCAUCCUCCGGCCCUUCCUGGUGCUGCCACGACCAUCCAUAGCAUUUUCCUAAAACGAUUUUUCAUUUCAAUACCACCAUUAUUUGGCUAAUUGAAGGGGCGGACAGCCACGUGGCUGACACGUCACGCUGGGAGACGGCGGCGAAUUCUCCUCCAAAUCCUCCGCCUCCACCCCUUUCCCCAUUCUUCCCCACCUCCGCUUCCUCCCAUUACAGUCACACAUCAAUUUACCCAGCUUGCGUCCAUGAGGCGCUUAUCUCACCAAGGUGAAGGGGAAUGAUAAAGGCAUCUUUCCAUUUUUCCCUGUCAACUUCAAGAGACUUGAGAGCUGCUUGGAAUUCCCCGAAGUUCCAGUCCAGCAAGUAAAGUCUCCACAAGACUUUCAGGGAUGUCUUGUACAGCUGCGAACAAUCAGCCGUGGUGGUGGCUUGCCCUUGUUCUGGCGAGAAGAUCUGCAAAGAGGAGCGGCUGCAGUGAGUCUCGAAGAUUCGCAGGUCGUUCGGAUUGGGCAUGGCUUGAGGGCCGGGCAGGGCAGGAGGGACAAGAGCCGGUGGUGCUAGAACAAGCUGCAGAGGGAAGUGGGCAGCACUGGCAAAGGCAGAUUUUUUCCCACUUGACGAUGGAGUCUCAUUGAAAUGCACGUCUGGUGAGAUGAUCAGCGUCUUGGAGACAGGAUUGUAGACCUUGUAAGCCUUGUGUUCAAUGCUAUAGCCUAGGAAAAUGCCGCUUGUUGAAGUGAGUUUUUUUCUAGUUUUAGAGGGGAUAUGGACGCCAUGGAAGGUGCGCUAAUCCAUUUGAAUUCCACUUUGUGCAAGAACCCUUGACAAUCCUGGACCUCAACAUUGGCAAGCACUUAAACGUGUCUUUUGGUACUUACGAGAUAUGUUUCCUUACAGUCUUAAGGCCAAGAGUCAAGCUAUGUUUCCUUACAGUUUUAAGGCCAAGAGUCAAGCUAUGUUUCCUUACAGUCUUAAGGCCAAGAGUCAAGCUUACUGGGCUGGCUUUGGCUAUAUUGUUUAGCCUUCGGUGUUGGGCCGGGUGUCGUUGAGGAGGCGGCAAAGCCAGAUGGCCUCUUUGCAUGCGGAACUAGCCUCCGCCUCACAGCUGGAGCAGGCAACGACGCUCUGCUUCUUGCUGCCAAUUGCAUUGUAAUCUACUGUAACAAUCAUCACAAGAUUAAUUCCCGGACGAAACACGCACCACGCUGGGAGACACGUCCAGUUCUUUCCAUGUUAUGCAAUCUUAAUUGAACACCACAACAGCCUGGAAAUCGAGUCCGCUGCUUCAUCCCACCAAAAAAUCUGAUCUCGUGCACAGCAUGAAACGAACAUUCUCUGUGCCUCUCCUGAUAGAGCCAUACAGGACCUUCUCAUGUCCAGCCAGCCACUCGAUUAUUAUAUGCAGCACACUCAAAUACAUCCAAGUAAAUCUUGAAAUCCUCGCAAAGUAGGCUAAAUGAGUCUGCUUGAGGAGGGCUUAAGUGAGUUGGCAAGGUGUAGUUUUGGUCUUUCCCUUGAACAUUGUAAGAUCAUGGACCUCACGUCACUACAGUGUCACCUUUAACUCAUUGUAACGCCGCAUAAAGGGAUUACUGCGUUUGCUCAAGUCCUCGAUGGGAGCGUGGAAGGUGAUAGCGCCUACAUCAGCUCCGUGAAUCGCAACAAGGAUUUCUUUAUUCUCAUGACAGGGGAUUUUAGGAUCGCGCCAGGCAGGGAUCACUUCGUCUGCAUGAUCGAUAUCUUCGGCCGUGGCAGGGAGAAUGCCGAGGAAUUGCUGCGUGCCAUGCCGUUUGUGCCAGAUGCUCUGAUUUGUAGGGUUUUGGUGGCAUCUUGCCGAUCGCAUUACGAUAUGUUUCGGGCACUGGAUCGACAUAUAUGGCAAAUCGCUCCAAGAGCGUGUUUAAAAUGGAAAUUGGCGGGAAAGCGAUGUGUUUGUUUUCUAGCUGUGCAUACUAUCGAAAGGUGGAAAAAGAAUUUAUUUAUCUUUCCAUUCAGUCAAGUCAGCCUCCCAACCUUUGGAGAAACUUUCAAGUCAUGCCGAUGAGCUCUCUCAACUUCUGGAUGAGACCACGGUCGUCAAUCUGGAACGCUUUUGCGAUCACGUUGUCGUUGAUUGGAGGACUGGAAUCAAACACCGCCUUGGCCACCUGAGUUGCCCCGGGGUUUUGGCUGUUGAAGCCAGCCAUCGCAACCGCAGGCUCCUUUCCAACGUUGAGCUGGAAGUGAAUGAGUCCCCGAGGGAAGACGAACAGAUCUCCAGGAUAGAGCAUUUGGGCGAAGAGCUUGUUGUCCGGCAAGGUGGUGAUGAAUCCGACUAAGAGGUUCCCGUGCACGAGGAAGAGCAACUCGGAUCCUCGGGGAUGGACGUGGGGGGGAUUGGUGCCGCCGGGAGCAUAGUCGAUGCGGGCAAAAGCUACACCAAAGGUGUUGAGACCGGGGAAAUUGUUGACACUCGCCAGCGUGACGUUGGAGCCGAGCUUGUUGUCGGUGUUCCCGGGAGUCGCCAGCAGGCUCGACUUGAAGUCCUCGGCUUUCACAUCGGCGGCCGCCUUGCAGACGACGCCGUUCACUUUGAUCUUGGAGCCAUUGUCUGCAACGCAAAAGUCCUACAGCAUAUCUUCAUCCGCAGCAUGUACAAACAAGAUGGAGCUGAUUGCUAGGAGGAAGGAUAGAACAAAACGAAGAUGAGCCAUCUUGCGAGCUUGGAAAAGACUGAUGGAGCUAUAUGAGGGAGGGGCAGGCAUUUUAUAGCCGGAGGAGGGGAGGCGAGGUCCUUUGGAUGACUUCGUCGUGAAUCGUGCACGAUUUUAGGUACACGGUCUUCUGUUCCCUUCUAUUUCAUUUUUUACUCUUGCUGUCCGCAUAACACAAUCCGAUUUGUUUGCUGCCAAGUCGUCUCGGAAGUUUUCUUUUACCGGGCUUGUCUAGAGCCGUCCAAAUCAUCUUUUCUUAGAUGAUGACGACCUUGGUUUUGAUGGUAGGAACCGGUCUCAGUGAAACUCGAGUUUUACACGGUCUUGGUAAAAGCUUUACACUAAAUUGCUUUAUUCUUCUUGGCACCAGAGACUUUUUAUAUGUGGAGUUUUAAUGGAAUUAUUAUGGAUUGUGUAGGUCCAUUGCUGAUACAAAUAAACUAUGGGUAUAUCGACCAAAGGUACGUCUAUGUAGGUUAUCAAUUUUGCAGACAAUUAUGUUGUCAGAAGGAUAGUUGCUCACGUAGUCAUGAGAUAUAUAUAGUCAUAGUCAUUGUGAUUAUUGUUUGCAUCAUUGUCAUGGGCAAAAUAGAAUGUUUAUUGCUGCCACUUUAUUAAUCAAUUUAAUGCAAUAAACUUAUGAUAUUAAAAAAAUUUAUAAUUUGUCCCACCAUUGCAAUCUAGGAAAGCAUCCAGUUGGGGUGGUGGGAGUGAACUGAGAAAUACUCAUUUAUUUCUCAUGUGCUGCUGUGUGAGCAUGUCAAUCAAUCAGCUGACCUCAGUAUUAGUGGUCGUGGGCAGUGCAUUCUAAAGCUCUUUGACUUGUUGGGCAAAGUCGGGCACCCAUGCUGGCAUGACUUGGUCGUGACCACAGCAAGUUUUGGUUGUUGAUAUGCAACUAGAACUUGUUUUAAACAGCAUAUGCAUCCUAGUCAAACAUGAGGCAGUUAAGAACUCUUGGAAUUCCCCACUAUUGCAAAGAAAUAAAGAAAAAAUAUCAAUGAUUACUCUAUUUAACUUUCACUCACCAUUUUGUUAAGGAAAAACUUAAACAAUACACCACAUUAUUAAAGAAUAGUUUAAACGACCAGGAUGUAAUCGUUUGUACUACUCCUAUUCCAUCUAUAGUGCCCAAUUGUGUAGUGCUGUUAACAAUGUAAAGUUGGGAGGCGGCAUUAGUCAUGUGGAUGUCCUCCGCUGCUGCCUGGUUCGAGGAGCCCUUCCACUGUUGUGAGUUGAGCCUGCAAAGUCUGUUGCAAUAUUAAAAACGUUUAAUUGCCCAGCAAGCCUCACUGGUUUGAUCAGUCAGUGUAUAGUUUUAUCUUAAGAGUAACAUUCCACGAACUAGAGAGUAGAAUUUAGAUGCUCAACCAAAGUCCCACCCAUAUCCAUAACCCACGCCUUGUCCACCAGUGGAAUCAACUCUCUGCGAGGAAAGAAAAUAAGAUCCAAGCACUAAUCACGCAAGUUUACCGCAGAUCAUGGCUCACAACGAGCAACGUCCUCUCCUUCUUUAAGUACGUGAGGUAAGAAUGUAGAUUGGAAUUUUUGGUGAGGUGUUGCUUUAAUGAAAGGUGAAACCGUGUGAUGGUGCUCAAGAUCCGUCAUAGCAUAUAUGGAAUGGAAAAUGUACAUAUGUGUGACAUGGUGAACCGGUGAAAACUCGUGUCUCUCCACGUGGACUAGCCACGUGGCACAGGGCCACUCUCAACACUCCCAGUGGCACUGUGGCCAUCACGAGUGAUGCUCAUCAGUGGAGAAAGUCCCAGCCCUUCGCGAUGGACUUGAAAUCGAUCUUGGGGUAGUGCUUUUGUGAAGAUAUUUGCAACCUGAGUGGUUGUGUCACAGUAGAUCAGCUCAAUUGUGCCAUCUUCCACUUUCUCACGAACAAAAUGAUGAUGAAUCCCAAAGUGUUUGGUGCGUGAAUGAAAGCGAGGAUUGGCCGCUAACGCAAUGCAGCUUUGAUUGUCGCAGAAGAGGCGAGUGGGAGUCUUCACACUCACACCAAGGUUAGAAAGUAGUGAGCGUAACCACACACCUUCUUUGGUAGCUUGUGAGGCUGCCAAAUAUUCUCCUUCAGUACUAGAGGUUGCCACUGUACUUUGCUUCCUGCUGCACCACGAGACUGUCGCACUGCCCAGGGAAAACGAAUAGCCAGAGGUGGACUUGCGUGUGUCACAGUCUCCCCCAAAAUCAGCAUCACAGUAGCCCGUGAGGGUAAGCGCUUUUCCCUGGUAGCACAAUCCAAGGUAAGUAGUACCUCGAAGGUACCUGAAGAUGCGUUUCACUGCUGCCCAAUGUUGAGAUCCAGGAUUAGCCAGGAAUUGGCUAACUUUGCUCACGGCAAAAGAAAUAUCUGGGCGCGUACAAACAGCUGGAUACAUGAGACUGCCAACAGCUUGUCUGUAAGGGAUGGAGUCCAUGGCUCUCUUGUCUUCCUCUGUCUCAGGAGACAUGGCUCGUGAAAGCUGGCAGCCUAGUUCCAUUGGUGUCGCCACUGGAUUAGAGCUCGUCAUAGAAAACCUGGCCAGUAUAUCUUCUAUAUACUUGGCUUGGUGAAGAUAGAUAGUGCGUUGAGAGCGAUCACGCACAAGUUCCAUGCCAAGAAAGUAGGAAGCCGAGCCAAGAGUUUUCAUCUCAAAUUGGCUGCAAAGAUCUCGCUUAACCUGGAGAAACAUUAAGCGAUGAUUAUGGAUGACAAGAGUAUCAUCAACAUAAAGAGCGAUGAUCACAAAUGAUUCACCCUCCACCCGAAUAUAAAGAUUCGGGUCUGCCUCGCUACGGGAAAAGCCCACACUUAGUAUAAAAUUGUCAAAGCGUUUGUACCAAGAUCUGGGUGCUUGUUUCAAGCCGUAGACAGCUUUCUUGAGAAGCCAGAGAUGAUCCUCUUUUCCAGCGGCUAGAAAUCCUUCUGGCUGUGCCAUAUAGAUUUCUUCUUCAAGCGCACCAUAAAGGAAUGCCGUGGUCACAUCCAUCUGUUCCAGAUCAAAGUCUCCCACCGCAGCAAAAUUAAUCAAGGAACGAAGAGUAGAAUGUUUAACCACUGGAGCGAAGGUGUCGUUGUAGUCAAGUCCAGGAACUUGCGAGCAUCCUUUUGCCACCAAUCGCACCUUGUAGCGAACCGAGCCAUCAGGAUUAAGCUUCAGAGCAUACACCCACAUGCUCUUGAUAAUCUGGCGAUUGGAAGGCACAGUUGGAACAAGAACAUGUGUCUCGUUCUUUUGCUGUGAAGCAAUCUCGGCUUCCAUUGCUACACGCCAGUAAGACGCUUCCUGUGAGGCCAUGGCUUCUCCAUAGGUCCUCGGAACAGUAGGAGUCCCAGCUGCACGAGAGGAGACCAUUGUCUCGAUGAGACGCUCAGUAGGCUACUUCCAGACUUUCAAGGAUAUGGGAGAAACACAAACUGGGAAAAUGCUCAAGCGAUUGAGAAGUGAUGGUGGAGGCGAAUUCACUUCCAAUGCUUUCAACCAGCUGUGUGAGCAAGGAGGGAUUGUGCGAGAACUUACAACGCGAGAGACUCCACAACAGAAUGGCGUAGCUGAGCGCAAGAAUCGCACACUAGUGGAGAGUGCUCGGGCAAUGCUACUUUCCAGUGGUUUGCCUCGCAGCUUCUGGUUUCACGCUGUCUUGACGGCGAACUAUCUCCAGAACCGGCUCCCCACCUCUGCCCUUGCUGGCAUCACUCCUGAAGAAGCAUGGAGUGGCAAGAAACCUACAGUUACGCAUUGGGCACACAUCCCUGAUGGAAUGCGCAAGAAAUUGGACCCCAAGAGCCAGAAGGCUGUGUUUGUGGGCUACAGCCUCGAUCACAAAGCCUAUCGUCUCUGGAAUCCAAUCACGAAGCAGGAGAUCCUGAGCAGAGAUGUGGUUUUCAACGAGAAUUCUUUUCUUCCUUCUAGUCAAGGUUCUACUUCCAGACCUACCUUGACCGAAGAAAAUGACGUUGAAGCGGAACAAGAUCAGUUGACUGUCGGCACGAUCACUGUGCCGCUUCAAACAGUCCCUACGCAACAACCCAUGCCCGCUUCUACUCCAACACCACCAGCCCCGCCGCCUCCUCCAGAUCCUCUACGCAGAUCGAUCCGCACAAGGCGCACUGGACGACUAAGAACCUGGAUCUAGACUUCAACGAGUGGUGGGAUUGGGUAUCGGCACCCAUGGCAGCCACUGUUCCUACAAAUCCGCCUCCAAAUCCACCACCUAUUUCCCCUCCCAUCACAAAUCCGACUGUGCCUACAGCGGAUAUCGUUUCAGUGGACGCAAAUCCACCAAAAUUUGAUGGGAGCAACUGGUGCUUCUGGAAGACAAAAUUCGAAUCCUAUAUGGAUGAACGAGGCCUCUGGGACAUCACCACAGGAACUGAGACACUUCCAGAUACAGCUACAGUGGAUGAAACUGCGAAGUAUCGCAAGAAGGACCGGAGAGCUUUGGGCAAAUUCCAUGCAGCGCUGGAGGGGCGAGAAUUUCAUUGCAUUGGACGGUGCAAGAGUGCAAAGGAAGCGUGGGAGGCCAUGAAGCAGACUUACCAGAUCCCUUCAACAUCCCAUCGCAUUUUUUUACGGAAGCAGCUUCAUGCACUGGUGAUGGCUGAAGGGGACGACCUCAAGGAUCAUCUUGCUGCAGCGAGAACAAUCUUAGAUGAUCUUAAGGAUGUGGGAGCAAACAUAGAGGAUGAAGAAGAAGCAGAGCUGGUGCUCGUCACACUUCCUCCAUCCUUUGAUCCUCUCAUACGUAACAGCCUCCAGGACGAUGAUCUGAGACGAAGAGCAACAACAGGAUCAGAGGCCGUUGCAUUCUACUCUUCUCUCAGGAAAGAAACAGUGAACAAAGGGAAACAAGGAGCCUCUUCAUCCAAGAAGCCCAAGUGUUCUCAUUGCAACAAGAAAGGCCAUGACGAAGCUCAAUGCUGGGUGAAAAAUCCAUCUCUCAAGCCUGUAAGGAACAAUGCAAAGAAAAAGGUGGUACACGCCUUCAUCUUGUCACGAGCUAUGGCAGUGGCAGCACUGUCUACAGAGUGCAUCUACCUGGAUUCUGCUGCUACAGACCAUAUGUUCAACAGUGAUAAGUACUUUGAAGCCUAUGAUCCUACAGCCACAGAGGAGUAUGUCAUCGUUGGCAAUGCCCAGCAGCUUGCUGUGAAAGGAAUUGGAACCAUCAAGUUGACUUUACCACAAGGAAUAGUCGUAAAGAUCCACAAGGUUAUUCCUGGUUUAUGUGCUAAUUUGUUCUCUGUGGGACAAUUUGCUGAGGAUGGGUAUCAGUUCGCCAUUACACCUCCCUUACCAUGCUGCCAGAUCUUGCUGGACGGAGUCUGGGCCUACACGCACAAAAGACAACGACCAGUCACUCACUGGAGCUUUGGCACGCACGCCUGGGGCAUCCUAGUGCUGAUAGAAUCAAGCAUCUCGCACGCGAGCAGAUGGUUGAAGGUCUAGACCUGGACCCAAGAGCAGUUCUUCCAUUGUGCCAGGGCUGUCAGCUAGGAAAAUCUACUCGCCAACCUUUCCCCAAGACUGGAGCAUCUCGAGGAACUUGUACACACUGAUGUGUGUGGCCCGAUGGCCACCACAGCAGUGGGAGGUAUCCAAUACUUUAUCAGUUUCAUUGAUGACUACAGUCGUCGCACUAUGAUCUACCCUAUGGCUCGCAAAUCCCAAUCGUUACACCCUCUUGCAAGGCCUGGAGCGCUUGGAUUAGGGCAUGCCUCUGUCCGGAGGCUCCGAUUCACCCUAGCAAGUGUUGCCCUGAUCCUAUGGUUUCGAAUUCUUCUCGCUCUCCCAGGCAUUGCUCUGAUACCAUCUAACGAAAGGUGAAACCGUGUGAUGGUGCUCAAGAUCCGUCAUAGCAUAUAUGAAAAUGUACAUACGUGUGACAUGGUGAACCGAUGAAGACUCGUGUCUCUCCACGUGGACUAGCCACGUGGCACAGGGCCACAGUUGCUGAUCUCUCUAUCUCUUGAAGCGCCCGAAGAGACAACGCAUGUUACUUUCGAUGAAUCGGCUGUUUCCCUCCCACAACCGGCCAAGACACACAACUCGGCUUGCAAAAAUGGCGAAGAGGUUUGCAAUUUUUUUUUUCCUUCUCUAUAUACUGAAGUCUCAAGCUUGCAGGGGUGCCAGAAUGCUGAAACGGAUUCUACCAGCCGGUGAGCUUGUUUUCUCGCGUGGCUAUUGGUGAAAUUCAUGGUGUUCUUGCUUUUUAAGGUUGCUUCGACUCGACUAUGCUGCCGCGAUGCGUCCCCAUCCUGAGAAGGUGCAAAGCUUACUUGCUAAUUUUUGUAGAUCUUCUAAGCUUUGCUGUUUACAGGCUCAAAGAGGGGGUGAAGAUGAUUUCUUCACUGAAGGCUCCUGGAUGGGUGUUGCUGAUGGUGUUGGGGGCUGGGCCGGAGAAGGUAAGAAAAAUCUUUCUUUGAGUAUGUUUCUUCAAAAGAGUUUUUACUGGUUUUCAGGCAUUGAUUCGGGGAUGUAUUCUCGGGAGCUUAUGGGACAUUGUAAGGCAUUGGUUGUAAACAGCAAAGGGAAACUGGACCCCAAGGACGUGCUUGUCAAAGCCGCCGGCAGUACAAAGGCCCAGGGAUCAGCAACGGUCCUUGUGGCUGCAUUGUUUGAGCAAGUAAGCUAGUCGGAUUUGAUGUUUGAGUCUGAGUCGGGUCAUAUAUUUCAGACAUGUACGCAGCAAAAUUGGGAGACUUGGGUUCAUCAUAGUUCGCAAUUGGGAGCCCAUGCAGCAUAGUUUUAACUUUCCGUUUCAAGUUGGAACUUUUGGUGACCAUCUUUUCCCUUAACUUUGCUAAUUUUCCGUCUACAGGAAUUCAAGAUCCCUGUCUGCAAGGGGGACAUCAUUGUUUUGGGAACUGAUGGCCUUUUUGACAAUCUCUUCAACGACGACAUAAUCGAAGUUCUUAAAAAAUCUCUUGGGUCCGACCAAGUCAACUUGAAAGUGAACUCUCGCUGUUGAAGAAUCUCAAGAUUGCUAAUAUUCUCUUCACUUUACAGGCAUGUAGCUGGGGCGCAGGCCGAGCGUUUGGACAAUUGGAGCGGUGGAAAGCGACGUGAUAUUUGAGUCGCGAAGGGUAAACUUUUCAAGCAGUUUUUGCGGAGGCCAGUGUAUAGGCCGCGGUAUUUCCGGUUCUUACGCUAAUUGAGCACCCUUUUGAUUGGCUCAUCUUCGUGUCUUUGGUGUCCAGCCUUCAUUAGAAACUGGUUUAAAUCGCAGGUAACUGCUGCUGAAUCUUCCUUUAAGAAAUCAAGGUUUUGUUCCAUCAGAAGGUUCACAGCCUGGAAGUUCUAGCCUCACUGGAGAUUGAACUCCGGACAGGACAGGUAUCUCUUCUGUUUAGAGGGAACUGCUCAGGGUGUUAGACGUGCCAGGGAAUCAGUUCAGCUGGACGAUCACGAGCCGGCAACAUGAUCUCUGGCUCGUCCUUCUCGGGGGUACAUGGAGCUGCUAGGCCUUUGGCGCGAUGGGAUCUUUCGCGACUGCGUGGCUCUCCAGGAGCUCUUCAACAGUCUCACUCCCCCAUCCAGCAGCAAACUCCGGAAUCUCAUGCUCGGCUCUACAUCUCUCAGCCAUCCAAGUGGGUGUGCGGGCUUGGAAGUGCUCGAACAACGUUUCGGAAGAGCUGUGUGGGCCGUAUCUUGUCUCUCAGCUUGGGCAGACUCUUUGAGUUUACUCGGAUCUCUCGGAGAACCGGUUGGAGGGGCUGGUUCUGAAGGACUAAGUGGUGGAAACCCUGCUACGGUCGGAUAGCAACAAAGAGCUCACGGAGAACAGCUUGAAGGACAGCUCCAGGCAAGCUCGUGUGGAGGAUCCUUGGAUACCGCUCUCGUCCCAGUACCGUGAGACUCCACCAGAAAGAUGGUGAGCGACGAAGGCAAUUGGCUGGAGCCGUGACUUCCUUCUUCGUCUCGAGUAUUUGGUCGCGUGUCCCGUCCACAUGGUAAGCCACGGAAUUGUUUCUUAGUUGCUCAAAUCUUAAUUCUUUCUGAUCUCCAGGUUGGUAAUCACCAUCACCAACUAAGAGGAAUUUUUUGCUUUGAGGUGGAGUUCGGUAGGCGACGAAGAAAAACUUUCCAGGAUGGGAGGAUGAAAAGUUACAGCCCGAGCUUGCUGUUCUUCGUGCUCCUCUUCUCCGCUGCGGCACUGCUACUCGUAUGGGUUCUCGACAUAAAUUCCGACUCCGCGAUGAUGUCCCGGAGCCGAACUAUGGGAUCAAACUUCCGCAUCAGCAACAACACCACAAGCUACAAGGGCAGCGACACUUGCAGGAGUAGGAACGAGUACGACUUCUACAGCCGCCGAAGAUCGACGAGCUUCGAGCCAUCCGAGUCGCUCCACCGGAAAAUCCUAGAGUACGAGGCUUUGCACGGGAGGUGCGCUCCGGGGCCCGAGCAGUGCGCGAACUGUAGUACAUGCGGCUACCUCGUCAAUGUUCCCGCCAGCCAGGGGAUCGGCAACAAGGUGGUGGCUAUAGUAGCAGCGUUUCUCUACGCGCUGCUCACCGACAGGACGAUGUUGAUCGCGAGGUUGGAGAACCUGGACACGCUCUUCUGCGAGCCGUUUCCAUCCAGCUCCUGGCUGCUGCCGUCGAGCUGGAAGCACCUCGAGUUGGCGCCGUGGGACGCCUCCAAGUGGAUUGGGAGCCUGGCGGGAUCGCCCAACUGCAGCCGCGGCGUCGACGUGAGCUUCCCCGAGGUGGUGGUGGCCUAGGACAAGGCCUUCUUCUGCCAAGACCACAGCAGGAGGCCAUCUUCCAUCUCCUGGUGAGGUACCGGUUGCUUCCCAGUGACUUCGUGUGGGACAAGGCGGCCAGGUACUACGACGCGUACCUGGCCCAGGCCGAGCUUCUAGUUGGGGUCCAGCUGCGAAGCCACAUCUGCCCAACCUCGCCGAGGAUACGUUCGACUGCCUGGUGCAACAAGGCCCGCUCGCAAACACCACCCAGGAGCGAGCUCCCAGAUCGUCGGUGAGGAAGAACAGCAAGAAGGUGGCGGUGUUGGUGGUGUCGCUCAAUUCGCAGUACUCGGAGACGCUCAAGAGCAAGGUGCUGGGAUACGAUCUAGCGGACGGUUCCUCGGUGUCCAUCCACCAGCCGAGCGUGGAGGGGGUGCAAAACACAGGGAACUUGGAUCACGACGCACAGGCGGUGAUGGAGAUCUACUUGCUGUCGAUGAGCGAUGUCCUGGUGACGAGCCCGCAAUCCACGUUUGGCUACUCGGCGGCAGGGGUGGCGGGCGUGCGGCCCGUGCAGUUUGUGUGCGACCAGAGAGCGUGGUUUGCUCGGUGAGGGAGACGAUGGAGCCGUGCUACCACGUUUAUCCGGCUCAGUUCGCGUUGGGCAACAUUGAAAAGUGCGAAUGCGGCGUGGGUUCAAGCUUUUAAGAUUUUAUUUUCUUUCUCGUGAUAGAUUUCUAAGUUGCUCCUUGGCUGCAUGAUGCAACUCUAGCGUCUUUUGUAGAUUUGCGUGGUCAGCUAGCUCAUGCUCUUGGCCCACGCAAAGUUGCGCCAAGGCUGCCUUGAAAUCCCACAUACACGGAAAAGGUAAUUUGGUGCCAAGAGCUUAUAGACUUUGAAUGGCGAACUGUCGUUUUGUCCAGGACUUUGAAAAGCUGCUCGUAUAGUGUUCUGGCUUGGAAGCUAACGAGUCUUGUUUUGACAGAUGGCACGCGCAAAGGACUUGACUGUUUACCAAGCCCGGUGGAGAACUUUUGUGUGAAUAUAAAACACUGGAGGCCCAUUGGAUCCAAUCGUAUCGGAGCAAGCACAGCUCUUGGUUCUUAUACAACGAUAUCAUCACUAUGUUUAGUGCUUUUGUGGCUGGAAUGGAUCGUGCAAAGAUACUUCUUGCCAUCGCAUUGGUGAUCAUGAUCAGCGGCAACAUCGAAUGUUGCAGGCCGCGUUUUCGGUGAUGAGCCGGCAGGCCGAGCUUUUCAAUUCCGAAUUGCGCCUUCCUGUUGUUAACAAGAUCCACACUCUUCUCGAAAGAACCUCCCGGAGAAUGCUCAUCCAGGGUCAGCCCACGCCAGCUCCCGGGCCUUCCGGGUGCUGCCACGAUAAUUGAAGAGGCGGACAGCCACGUGGCUGACACGUCACGCUGGGCAGGCUCUUUUCAUCUAAAUCCUCCACCUUCCCCACCUCCGCUCCCUCCCAUUACAGUCACACAUCAAUUUACAGCUUGCGUCCAGGAGGCGGUUGUCUCACCAGGUGAAGGGAAAUGAUAAAGGCAACUUUCCAUUUUUCCUUGACUUGAGAGCUGCGUGGAAUUCCCAGAAGUUCCAGUCCAGCAAGUAAAGUCUCCACAAGACUUUCAGGGAUGUCUUGUACAGCUGCGAACAAUCAGCCGUGGUGGUGGCUUGCCCUUGUUCUGGCGAGAAGAUCUGCAAAGAGGAGCGGCUGCAGUGAGUCUUGAAGAUUCGCAGGUCGUUCGGAUUGGGCAUUGGGCAGCAAUGGCAAAGGCAGAUUUUCUCCCACUUGACGUGAUGGAGUCUCAUUGGAAUGCACGUCUGGUGAGAUGAUCAGCGCCUUGGAGACAGGAUUGUAGACCUUGUAAGCCUUGUGUUCAAUGCCAUAGCCUAGGAAAAUGCCUCGUUCGCUUGUUGGAGAGUUAUAGAGGGGAUAUGGACGCCAUGGAAGGUGCGCUAAUCCAUUCGAAUUCCACUUUGUGCAAGAACCCUUGACAAUCCUGGACCUCAACAUUGGCAAGCACUUAAACGCGUCUUUUGGUACUUCCGAGAUACGUUUUCUUACGGUCUUAAGGCCACGAGUCAAGCUUACUGGGCUGGCUUUGGCUAAAUUGUUUAGCCUUCACAAUGCAGUUAGCAGCAAGAAGAAGAGCGUCGUUGCCUGCUCCAGCUGUGAGGCGGAGGCUAGUUCCGCAUGCAAAGAGGCCAUCUGGCGUCGCCGCCUCCUCAACGACACCCCGCCCAACACCAAUCUACUGUGAGAAUCAAGGCUACGUCGCCUCGAGCAAACAUCACAAGAUUAAUUCCCGGACGAAACACGCACCACGCUGGGAGACACGUCCAGUUCUUUCCAUGUUCUUGUGAUUCCAAUCUCGAUAAUGCAAUCUUAAUUGAACAUCACAACAGCCUGGAAAUCGAGUCCACUGCUUCAUCCCACCAAACAAUCUGAUCUCGUGCACAGCAUGAAACGAACUCUCCUGAUAGAGCCAUACAGAACCUUCUCAUGUCCAGCCACUUGAUUAUUCUAUGCAGCACACUCAAAUACGUCCAGGUAAAUCUCGAAAUCCUCUCAAAGUAGGCUAAAGGAGAUACUUUCUCAUCUUGCCAAAAGCCCCUUCUAACAGGGUUAGAGAGGGCUUGGGUGAGUUGGCAAGGUGUAGUUUUGGUCUUUCCCUUGAAAGAUCAUGGACCUCACUUCACUACAGUGUCACCUUUAGCCCAUUACAAUGCUGCAUAAAGGGAUCACUGCGUUUGCUCAUUGUGGCGAGGGCGAGAAAGUCCUCGAUGGGAGCGUGGAAGGUGACACUCCGGCCUGCGCCUACAUCAGCUCCGUGAAUCGCAACAAGGAUUUCUUUCUUCUCGUGACAGGGGAUUUUAGGAUCGCGCCAGGCAGGGUCUGCAUGAUCGAUAUGUUCGGCUGGAGAAUGCCGAGGAAUUGCUGCGUGCCAUGCCGUUUGUGACGGAUGCUCUGGUUUGUAGGGUUUUGGUGGCAUCUUGCCGAUCGCAUUACGAUAUAUAUCGGGCAUUGGAUGGCAAAUCGCUCCAGGAGCGUGUUUAAAAUGGAAAUUGGCGGGAAAGCGAUGUGUUUGUUUUUUAUUCUAUCUAGCUGUGCUUACGAAAGUUUCCGAAAGGUAAGAGCUUUGGAAAAAUAAUUUAUUUAUAUAUGUAACUUAGUCAAGUCAGCCUCGCAACCUUUGGAGAAACUUUCAAGUCAUGCCGAUGAGCUCUCUCAACUUCUGGAUGAGACCACGGUCGUCAAUUUGGAACGCUUUCGCGAUCACGUCGUCGUUGAUUGGAGGAUUGGAAUCAAACACCGCCUUGGCCACCUGAGUCGCCCCGGGGUUUUGGCUGUUGAAGCCAGCCAUCGCAACCGCAGGCUCCUUUCCAACGUUGAGCUGGAAGUGGACGAGUCCCCUAGGGAAGACGAACAGAUCUCCAGGAUAGAGCAUUUGGGCGAAGAGCUUGUUGUCCGGCAAUGUGGUGACGAAUCCGACUAAGAGGUUCCCGUGCACGAGGAAGAGCAGCUCGGAUCCUCGGGGAUGGACGUGGGGGGGAUUGGUGCCGCCGGGAGCAUAGUCGAUGCGGGCAAAAGCUACACCAAAGGUGUUGAGACCGGGGAAAUUGUUGACACUCGCCAGCGUGACGUUGGAGCCGAGCUUGUUGUCGGUGUUCCCGGGAGUCGCCAGCAGGCUCGACUUGAAGUCCUCGGCUUUCACAUCGGCAGCCGCCUUGCAGACGACGCCAUUCACUUUGAUCUUGGAGCCAUUGUCUGCAACGCAAAAGUCCUGCAGCAUAUCUUCAUCCGCGGCAUGCACAAACAAGAUGGAGCUGAUUGCUAGGAGGAAGGAUAGAACAAAACGAAGAUGAGCCAUCUUGCGAGCUUGGAAAAGACUGAUGGAGCUAUAUGAGGGAGGGGCAGGCAUUUUAUAGCCGGAGGAGGGGAGGCGAGGUCCUUUGGAUGACUUCGUCGUGAAUCGUGCACGAUUUUAGGUACACGGUCUUCUGUUCCCUUCUAUUUCAUUUUUUACUCUUGCUGUCCGCGUAACACAAUCUGAUUUGUUUGCUGCCAAGUCGUCUCGGAAGUUUUCUUUUACCGGGCUUGUCUAGAGCCGUCAAAAUCAUCUUUUAUGUGUGUAGAUGAUGACGACUGAUGGUAAGAACCGGUCUCAGUGAAACUCGAGUUUUACACGGUCUUAAAAACUUGACACUAAAUUGCUUUAUUCUUCUACCAGAGACUUUUUAUGUGUGGAGUUUUAACGGAAUUAUUAUGGAUUGUGUAGGUCCAUUGCUGAUACAAAUAAACUAUGGGUAUAUCGACCAAAGGUACGUCUAUGUAGGUUAUCAAUUUUGCAGACAACUGUGUAGAAGGAUAGUUGCUCACAUAGUCAUGAGACAUACAUAGUCAUAGUCAUUGUGAUUAUUGCUUGCAUCAUUGUCAUGGGCAAAAUAGAAUGUUUAUUGCUGCUACUUUAUUAAUCACUUUAAUACAAUAAACUUAUGAUAUUAAAAAGUUUAAUAAUUUGUCCCACCAUUGCAAUCUAGGAAAGCAUCCAGUUGGGGUGGUGGGAGCGAACUAAGAAAACACUCCUGUGCUGCUGUGUGAGCAUGUCAAUCAGUCAGCUGACCUCAGUAUCAGUGGUCGUGGGCAGUGCAUUCUAAAGCUCUUGGACUUGUUGGGCAAAGUCGGGCACCCAUGCUGGCAUGACUUAGUCGUGGCCACAGUGAGUUCUGGUUGUUGAUAGGAGUGUUGUAAGCAGCAUACGCAUCCUAGUCAGACAUGAGGCGGUCAAGAACUCUUGGAAUUCCCCGCCAUACCAUUUUGUCAAGGAAAAAUCUAAACAGUACACCACAUUAUUAAAGAAUAGUUUGGCUGACCAAAAUGUAAUCGUUUGUACUACUCCUGUUCCAUCUAUGGUGCCCAAUUGUGUAGUGCUGUUAACAAUGUAGAGUUGGGAGGCACCAUUAGUCAUGUGGAUGUCCUCCGCUGCUGCCUGGUUCCAGGAGCCCUUCUGCUGUUGUUAGUUGAGCCUGCAAAGUCCAUUGCAAUAUUAAAAACGUUUAAUUGCCCAGCCAGUCUCACUGGUUUGAUCGGUCAGUGUAUAGUUUUAUCUUAAGAGUAACAUUCCACGAACUAGAGAGUAGAAUUUAGCUGCUCAACCAAAGUCCCACCCAUAUCCAUAACCCAUGCCUUGUCCACCAGUGGAAUCAACUCUCUGCGAGGAAAGAAAAUAAGAUCCAAGCACUAAUCACGCAAGUUUACCGCAGAUCAUGGCUCAUAACGAGCAACGUCCUCUCCUUCUUUAAGCACGCGAGGUAAGAAUGUAGCUUGGAAUUUUUGGUGAGGUGUUGCUGAUCUCUCUAUCUCUUGAAGCGCCCGAAGAGACAACGCAUGUUACUUUCGAUGAAUCGGCUGUUUCCCUCCCACAACCGGCCAAGACACACAACUCGGCUUGCAAAAAUGGCGAAGAGGUUUGCAAUUUUUUUUUUCCUUCUCUAUAUACUGAAGUCUCAAGCUUGCAAGGGUGCCAGAAUGCUGAAACGGAUUCUACCAGCCAGUGAGCAUGUUUACGUUUUGCGUGGCUACUGGUGAAAUUCAUGGUGUUCUUGCUUUUAAGGUUGCUUUGACUCAACUAUGCUGCCGCGAUGCGUCCCCAUCCUGAGAAGGUGCAAAGCUUACUUGCUAAUUUUUGUAGAUCUUCUAAGCUUUGCUGUUUACAGGCUCAAAGAGGGGGUGAAGAUGCCUUCGUCACAGAAGGCUCCUGGAUGGGUGUUGCUGAUGGUGUUGGGGGCUGGGCCGGAGAAGGUAAGACAAAUCUUUCUUUGAGUCUGUUUCUUCAAAAGAGUUUUUACUGGUUUUCAGGCAUUGAUUCGGGGAUGUAUUCUCGGGAGCUUAUGGGACACUGUGGCAUUGGUUGUAAACAGCAAAGGGAAACCGGACCCCAAGGACGUCAGUACAAAGGCCCAGGGAUCAGCAACGGUCCUUGUGGCUGCAUUGUUUGAGCAAGUAAGCUAGUCGGAUUUGAUGUUUGAGGCUGAGUCGGGUCAUAUAUUUCAGACAUGUACGCAGCAAACUUGGGAGACUUGGGUUCAUCAUAGUUCAAGCUCGGAGCCCAUGCAGCAUAGUUUUAACUUUCCGUUUCAAGUUGGAACAUUUGGUGACCAUCCGACGGUUGCAGAGGUACUCUUGCUUUUCCCUUAACUUCGCUAAUUUUCCGUCUACAGGAAUUCAAGAUCCCUGUCUGCAAGGGGGACAUCAUUGUUUUGGGAACUGAUGGCCUUUUUGACAAUCUCUUCAACAACGACAUAGUCGAAGUUCUUAAAAAAUCUGACCAAGUCAACUUGAAGGUGAACUCUCGCUGUUGAAGAAUCUCAAGAUUGCUAAUAUUCUCUUCACUUUACAGGCAUGUAGCUGGGGCGUAGGCCGAGCGUUUGGAUAGCCCGUUUGCUAGGGGGGCUGCAAAGGCGAGAAUGAAUUGGAGCGGUGGAAAGCUGUUGUGGCGUUUGUGACGUGAUAUUUGAGUCGCGAAGGGUAAACUUUUCAAGCAGUUUUUGCGGAGGCCAGUGUAAAUUGCUCAGGCCGCGGUAUUUCCGGUUCUUACGCUAAUUGAGGUAUGACACCCUUUUGAUUUUAUUCUUCGUGUCUUUGGUGUCUAGCCUUCAUUAGAAACUGGUUUAAAUCGCAGGUAAAUCUUCCUUUAAGAAAUCAAGGUUUUAUUCCAUCAGAAGGUUCACAGCCUGGAAGUUCUAGCCUCACUGGAGAUUGAACUCCGGACAGGACAGGUAUCUCUUCUGUUUAGAGGGAACUGCUCAGGGUGUUAGACAUGUCAGGGAAUCAGUUCAGCUGGACGAUCACGAGCCGGCAACAUGAUCUCUGGCUCGUCCUUCUCGGGGGUACAUGGAGCUGCUAGGCCUUUGGCGCGAUGGGAUCUUUCGCGACUGCGUGGCUCUCCAGGAGCUCUUCAACAGUCUCACUCCCCCGUCCAGCAGCAAACUCCGGAAUGUCAUUCUCGGUUCUACAUCUCUCAGCCAUCCAAAUGGGUGUGCGGGCUUAGAAGUGCUCGAACAACGUUUCGGAGGAGCUCGUGUGGGCCCUAUCAUGUCUCUCAGCUUGGGCAGACUCUUUGAGUUUGCUUGGAUCUCUCAGAGAACCAGUUGAAGGGGAUGGUUCUGAAGGACUAAGUGGUGGAAACCCUGCUACGGUCGAAUAGCAACAAAGAGCUCACAGAGAACAGCUUGAAGGACAGCUCCAGGCGAGCUCAUGUGGAGGAUCCUUGGAUACCACUUUCGUCCAGUACCGUGAGACUCCACCAGAAAGAUGGUGAGGAAGGUGGCGACAAGCCAAUUGGCUGGAGCUGUGACUUCCUUCUUUGUCUCGAGUAUUUGGUCGCGUGUCCCGUCCACAUGGUGAGCCACGGAAUUGUUUCUUAGUUGCUCAAAUCUUAAUUCUUUCUGAUCUCCAGGUUGGUAAUCACCAUUACCAAAUAAGAGGAAUUUUUUGCAUUGAGGCUUUGCAGUUCGGUAGGCGACGAAGAAAAACUUUCCAGGAUCGGAGGAUGAAAAGUUACAGCCCAAGCUUGCUGUUCUUCGUGCUCCUCUUCUCCGCUGCGGCACUGAUACUCGUAUGGAUUCUCGACAUAAAUUCCGACUCCGCAAUGAUGUCCCGGAGCCGAACUCUGGGAUCAAACUUCCGCAUCAGCAACAACACCACAAGCUACAAGGGCAGCGACACUUGCAGGAGUAGGAACGAGUACGACUUCUACAGCCGCCGAAGAUCAGCGAGCUUCGAGCCAUCCGAGUCGGUCCAACGGAAAAUCAUAGAGUACGAGGCUUUGCACGGGAGGUGCGCUCCGGGCCCGAGCAGUGCGCGAACUGUAGUACAUGCGGCUACCUCGUCUACGUUCCCGCCAACCAGGGGAUCGGCAACAAGAUGGUGGCUAUAGUAGCAGCGUUUCUCUACGCGCUGCUCACCGACAGGACGAUGCUGAUCGCGAGGUUGGAGAACCUGGACACGCUCUUCUGCGAGCCGUUUCCAUCCAGCUCCUGGCUGCUGCCGUCGAGCUGGAAGCACCUCGAGUUGGCGCCGUGGGACGCCUCCAAGUGGAUUGGGAGCCUGGCGGGUUCGCCCAACUGCAGCCGCGGCGUCGACGUGAGCUUCCCCGAGGUGGUGGUGGCCUAUCUCGAUUACAACUACAGGGACCAGGACAAGGCCUUCUUCUGCCAAGAUCAACAGCAAGCUCUCAACUCCAGCGCGCGGUGGAUCGUCCUCUCCUCCGGCCAGUACUUCACUCCGGCGCUCUACAACGUCCCGACUUUCAGGAGCAAACUCGAGGAAUUGUUCCCACAGCAGGAGGCCAUCUUCCAUCUCCUGGUGAGGUACCUGUUGCUUCCCAGUGACUUCGUGUGGGACAAGGCGGCCAGGUACUACGACGCAUACCUCGAAACCACAUCUGGUUCUCGCCACCCAACCUCGCCGAGGAUACGUUCGACUGCCUGGUGCAACAAGGCGCGCUCGCAAACACCACCCAGGAGCGAGCUCCCAGAUCGUCGGUGCGAGCUCCCAGAUCGUCGGUGCGAGCUCCCAGAUCGUCGGUGAGGAAGAACAGCAAGAAGGUGGCGGUGCUGGUGGUGUCGCUCAACUCGCAGUACUCGGAGACGCUCAAGAGCAAGGUGCUGGGAUACGAUCUAGCGGACGGUUCCUCGGUGUCCAUCCACCAGCCGAGCGUGGAGGGGGUGCAAAACACAGGGAACUUGGAUCACGACGCACAGGCGGUGAUGGAGAUCCACUUGCUGUCGAUGAGCGAUGUCCUGGUGACGAGCCCGCCAUCCACGUUUGGCUACUCGGCGGCGGGGCUGGCGGGCGUGAGGCCCGUGCAGUUCGUGUGCGACCAGAGCGUGGUUUGCUCAGUGAGGGAGACGAUGGAGCCGUGCUACCACGUUUAUCCGGCUCAGUUCGCGCUGGACAACAUUGAAAAGUGCGAAUGCGGUGGGGUUUCAGACUAGUCUAAAGGACAUUCUUAGAAAGGGUGUUGUCUUAGAAAGUUCUAAGAUUUUAUUUUCUUUUUCGUGAUAGAUUUCUAAGUUGCUCCUUGGCUGCAUGAUGCAAAUCUAGCGUCUUUUGUAGAUUUGCGUGGUCAGGUCAUGCUCUUGGCCCACGCAAAGUUGCGCCAAGGCUGCCUUGAAAUCCGACAUACACGGAACAGGUAAUUUGCUACCAAGAGCUUAUAGACUUCAAAUGGCGAGCUGUCUUUUGUGCAGGACUUUGAAAAACUGCCCAUAUAGUGUUCUGGCUUGGAAGCUAACGAUUCUUAUUUUGACAGAUGGCACGCGCAAAGGACUUGACUGUUUACCAAGCCCGGUGCUGUUUGUGUGAAUAUAAAACAGUGGAGGCCCAUUGGAUCCAAUUGUAUCGGAGCAAGCACGGCUCUUGGUUCUUAUACAACGAUAUCAUCACUAUGUUUAGUGCUUUUGUGGCUGGAAUGAAUCGUGGAAAGAUACUUCUUGCCAUCGCAUUGGUGAUCAUGAUCAGCGGCAACAUCGAAUGUUGCAGGCCGGGCUCGUUUUCGGUGAUGAGCCAGCAGGGCGAGCUUUUCAAUUCCGAAUUGCACUUUCCUGUUGUUAAAAAGAUCCACACUCUUCUCGAAAGAACCUCCCGGAGAAUGCUCACCCAGGGUCAGCCCACGCCAGCUCCCGGCCCUUCCGGGUGCUGCCACGAUAAUUGAAGUGGCGGACAGCCACGUGGCUGACACGUCAUGCAAGGCUCUUUCCAUCUGGCGGCGAAUUCUCCUCCAAAUCCUCCACCUCCACUCCUUUCCCCAUUCUUCCCCACCUCCGCUCCCUCCCAUUACAGUCACACAUCAAUUUACCCAGCUUGCGUCCAGGAGGCGCUUGUCUCACCAAGGUGAAGGGGAAUGAUAAAGGCAACUUUCCAUUUUUCCUUGACUUGAGAGCUGCGUGGAAUUCCCAGAAGUUCCACUCCAGCAAGUAAUGUCUCCACAAGACUUUCAGGGAUGUCUUGUACAGCUGCGAGCAAUCAGCCGUGGUGGUGGCUUGCCCUUGUUCUGGCGAGAAGAUCUGCAAAGAGGAGCGGCUGCAG
rnacentral:lncRNA from 1 species